AGCGGCGGACGGGUGAGUAACGCGUGGGUAACCUACCCUAUACACACGGAUAACAUACCGAAAGGUAUGCUAAUACGAGAUAAUAUAAGAGAUUCACAUGGAUUUCUUAUCAGAGCUGAGGCGGUAUAGGAUGGACCCGCGUCUGAUUAGCUAGUUGGUAAGGUAACGGCUUACCAAGGCGACGAUCAGUAGCCGACCUGAGAGGGUGAUCGGCCACAUUGGAACUGAGACACGGUCCAAACUCCUACGGGAGGCAGCAGUGGGGAAUAUUGCACAAUGGGCGAAAGCCUGAUGCAGCAACGCCGCGUGAGUGAUGAAGGCCUUCGGGUCGUAAAACUCUGUCCUCAAGGAAGAUAAUGACGGUACUUGAGGAGGAAGCCCCGGCUAACUACGUGCCAGCAGCCGCGGUAAUACGUAGGGGGCUAGCGUUAUCCGGAUUUACUGGGCGUAAAGGGUGCGUAGGUGGUCUCUUAAGUCAGGAGUGAAAGGCUACGGCUUAACCGUAGUAAGCUCUUGAAACAGGGAGACUUGAGUGCAGGAGAGGAAAGUGGAAUUCCUAGUGUAGCGGUGAAAUGCGUAGAUAUUAGGAGGAACACCAGUAGCGAAGGCGGCUUUCUGGACUGUAACUGACACUGAGGCACGAAAGCGUGGGGGAGCAAACAGGGUUAGAUACCCUGGUAGUCCACGCCGUACACAUGAGUACUAGGUGU
rnacentral:rRNA from 1 species